rnacentral:lncRNA from 12 species
GCCUUUCACAGAAAGAUAAGAGAGCCAACCAGGGUCUUCAGGAUCCACUCCUGCUUGCUGUCGCUAAGGUGUUAACCAGUCCCUGAAGUCUCCAUCAGACUUCUCUCUUUCCGGCUUGAAGAACUGAACCAGAGCACAAUCUAUUUUUACAGGAAAGAGAGAGGAUAGCCCCCACAAGACCCUGACCAGCUCUAUGCUUUUCUCAACCCCUCCGAUUUCCUGUGCAAUUGAAGGCCUUUUUAAGUCACCACUGGGGGUCUUCCUAUUCUGAGUUUUCAUUGAACUUGGAUCUGAAGUUCCUACUCACAAAAGGAUGAAUUGGAAUAUAUGUGGCUACUCUGGGCUAUAAGAUCCUCAAAGGAUUCUAAGUUCUUCUGCAAUAUUUUCACUCUGUCGCCCAGGCCCUGCAGAGUCUCUGUUGAUGGUUUUCAGCCAAAAAUGAAAUGAGAGAUUCAAAUCCACCAUCAGAGGUUUUCUCUGAUCUGCAGGGGGUUUACUUUAAAGAGGUAAGUGAGCUAUGGGGUACCUGGCAGGCCAGGAAGGAGGGGGCAGUGGGUCAGAGGAAGGGAUAGAGGGGUAGCUGGAGAUGGAGGAGCAUAGCAUGGGGAAAGAGGAUAGUAGGCUUGAGUUGCGGUUUUGGGGGGAAUCUAAAAGAUAGUUUCAACUUGUUCGCAUUUUUCUUUUUCUUUGGCCAAGCAAUCCAUUAAGGAAGUAAUUUUGAAAUCCAGUUUCUUUUGGAUGCUUCCUCGUGCUAAUAAAAAAUAAUGAAGACUAUUGGAUGCUCUGAGUGGUGUUGCCUUUACCUUCUAAGGCACCUCUCAAUUGCACAUGACUGCUAAGGGGGUACAUCCCCACUCAGGACUGGAAGGGGAAAGGUCUGAACCAGUCACUUAGCUCUUUCAUCAGAAAUGCAGAAGAUUUCCCAGGUUUCCCUGCAUCUCACUGCCAGAACCAUAUCACAUGGCCAUUUAGCUACAAAAAAGACAGAAAAGAAAAGAAGUGGGAAGAGGGGAUUUAAAAAAAAAAAAAAAAGACAGUCUCGGGGCAGCCUGGUGGCUCAGCGGUUUAGCACCGCCUGCAGCCCGGGAUGUGAUCCUGGAGACCCGGGAUCGAGUCCCACGUCGGGCUCCCUGCAUGGAGCCUGCUUCUCCCUCUGCCCGUGUCUCUGCCCCUCUCUCUCUCUGUGUCUCUCAUGAAUAAAUAAAUAAAAUCUUUAAAAAAAAAUGACA